rnacentral:rRNA from 1 species
UCAGCUAUCAGUAAAAGGUAUUCGCAAGAAUUUCCGCUCAGAGAGGGGCCUAUGGUCUAUCAGCUUGUUGGUAAGGUAAUGGCUUACCAAGGCAAUGACGGAUAGCGGGCGUGAGAGCGCGACCCGCCUCACAGGGACUGAAACACUGCCCUGACUCCUACGGGAGGCUGCAGUCGAGAAUAUUCCACAAUGGCCGAAAGGCUGAUGGAGCGACGCCGCGUGAUUGAAGAAGCCCUUCGGGGUGUAAAGAUCUUUUCUGAAGGAAAAAUGUUGAUUGUACUUCAGGAAUAAGGGGCUGCUAAACUCGUGCCAGCAGCAGCGGUAAUACGAGUGCCCCAAGCGUUAUCCGGAUUUAUUGGGCGUAAAGCGUCCGCAGGUGUCCUGGUAAGUUUUUUGGUUAAACCCUAAAGCUCAACUUUAGGUCAGCCAAAAAAACUAUCAGGAUAGAGGAUGGGAGAGGCCAGUGGAAUGGCUGAUGUAGGGGUUAAAUCCGUUAAUAUCAGCUAGAACACCAAAAGCGAAGGCAGCUGGCUAGAACACUCCUGACACUCAUGGACGAAAGCGUGGGUAGCGAACGGGAUUAGAUACCCCGGUAGUCCACGCCGUAAACGAUGGAUACUUAGCAUUGGCAGUAUCGACCCUGUCAGUGUUGCCUCUAAACAAGCUAACGCCUUAAGUAUCCCGCCUGGGGAGUACGAGCGCAAGCUUAAAACUCAAAGGAAUAGACGGGGACUCGCACAAGCGGUGGAGCACGUGGUUUAAUUCGAAGCUAAGCGAAGAACCUUACCAAGACUUGACAUUUAGCCUAUGUUAAUUUGGAAACAAGUUAACUAAGUGGCUAGACAGGUGCUGCAUGGUUGUCGUCAGCAUGUGAUGUGAAUUGCACCCUUAAUUGGGAUAACAUGCGCAACCCUUAUGAUAUGUUAAAUGUACAUAUUAGACUGCCUCGGUUAACGAGGAGGAAGGAAGGGACGACGUCAAAUCAGCAUGGCUCUUACGUCUUGGGCCACACGCGUGCUACAAUGGCCGGUACAAUGGGUUGCCAACCCGCGAGGGGGAGCUAAUCCCAUCAAAACCGGUCUCAGUUCGGAUUGAAGUCUGCGACUCGACUUCAUGAAGUUGGAAUCGCUAGUAAAUGUGUAUCAGCCACGGCGCAUUGAAUACGUUCUCGAGUCUUGUACUCACUGCCCGUCACAUCAAGGGAGUCGGUAAUACCCAAAUGCCGCAGUACUGC